UGCCUACGGGGGGCAGCAGUGAGGAAUAUUGGUCAAUGGGCGGGAGCCUGAACCAGCCAAGUCGCGUGAGGGACGACGGUCCUAUGGAUUGUAAACCUCUUUUGUCGGGGAACAAAGGCGCCCACGGGUGGGCGGAUGAGUGUACCCGAAGAAAAAGCAUCGGCUAACUCCGUGCCAGCAGCCGCGGUAAUACGGAGGAUGCGAGCGUUAUCCGGAUUUAUUGGGUUUAAAGGGUGCGUAGGCGGAAUGCCAAGUCAGCGGUAAAAUCGCGGGGCUCAACCUCGCUCCGCCGUUGAAACUGGCGU
rnacentral:rRNA from 1 species